CACGUAGGGCGCAAGCGUUGUCCGGAAUUAUUGGGCGUAAAGAGCUCGUAGGUGGUUUGUUACGUCUGCUGUGAAAACCUAGGGCUUAACCCCGAGCCUGCAGUGGAUACGGGCAGACUAGAGGUAGGUAGGGGAGAAUGGAAUUCCCGGUGUAGCGGUGAAAUGCGCAGAUAUCGGGAGGAACACCGGUGGCGAAGGCGGUUCUCUGGGCAUUACCUGACGCUGAGGAGCGAAAGCAUGGGGAGCGAACAGG
rnacentral:rRNA from 1 species